rnacentral:lncRNA from 1 species
CUCUGCUAUUUAAGGUGAUUGAGGCUGUAUUUGUUGUAGAGCAGUAGGCCUACGCAGAUAAUAACAGACAAGGCCUCUAACACAGUCAAAAACAAAUACGUAAGUCCUAGGAGCACGAUACAUGGUGCUUAUGACUUUCCUAAAGCCGGAUAGAGAAACACACCUUGUUGGAGGAUCAACAUGUCCAACUCACGGCGCUUUUCUUUCGCUAACAAGUCGCAGACACCAUGUUUUUCUAUAGGGACGUGUCGGAUGCCAACAUAUUUUCUCCAUAAAGCCAACACUGCCGAAGAUGUAAGGCGCAGAUAAAGUGCAUGGAAAGCAUUAUGGGACUGUGAGAUUUACAGAACUGGAGUCAGGGAGGAAUGUUUCUGCCCCGUCGCCUUCCAAGAGCAACAACACACCGCGUGCCCGCCUUGCCAGAAGCGGGCGCUUUUCGCGUCUCGGGUGGGUUGGUGCGUGUGAGGGGAGCCAUGGGGAUGCGAAAGGCCAGAUAAUGACUAUGAAUGGCAUUUUGUUUCAUCAAGACGACAGUAUAAAUCCACUUUAGACUGUCUGGCUCUAUCAAACUAAAUUGGACUCAGCAUAAUUCAACUGUAUUCAGUAUAGAGAAGUGUGUAGGUUAAGAUGGCCUGCUAUCCCCUAAUGUUGCCUUCCCAUCAACAACCUGAUGUCCCAUUCUAGACCUAAGGUAACCAGAGGGUUGCAGGUUUAAAGCACAGUUGGGACAUCACUAUGUCCUUUUGAGUGAGAUACUUUGCUCGGGUAAAUAUUUAUCCAGCUGUAUAAAUGGGUGUUGUGUGGAAUGUGUAAACUGUGCUGGCGCUGCCCUGGACAGGGUCUAAUGCCAGGUACAGGCAUAAUAAUACCUUACUGUGCUCUGAGAUACCAGUCAGUCACUAUGCGAACAGACAUGAAUUGGGAAAUUU